rnacentral:rRNA from 1 species
UCGGGAAGUGGACAGCGGCGAAAGGGAGAGUAAUACGUAGAAAUCUGCCCCGGAGUCUGGGAUAGCGUUGGGAAACUGGCGGUAAUACCGGAUAACGUCUUCGGACCAAAGAAUUUCGCUCUGGGAUGAGUCUACGACCUAUUAGCUGGUUGGUGAGGUAACGGCUCACCAAGGCGACGAUGGGUAGCGGGUGUGAGAGCAUGAUCCGCCUCACUGGGACUGAGACACUGCCCAGACAUCUACGGAUGGCUGCAGUCGAGAAUCUUUGUCAAUGGACGAAAGUCUGAACAAGCGACGCCGCGUGCGGGAUGAAGGCCCUCGGGUUGUAAACCGCUGUCAGAGGGGAGGAAAUUUUGACUGAACCUCAGAGGAAGGACGGGCUAAGUUCGUGCCAGCAGCCGCGGUAAGACGAACCGUCCGAACGUUAUUCGGUAUCACUGGGCUUAAAGAGUCCGUAGGCGGCCAUGUAGGUCAGAUGUGAAAUCCCACAGCUCAACUGUGGAACUGCGUUUGAAACCACAUGGCUUGAGGAAGAUAGAGGUGAGCGGAACAGAUGGUGGAGCGGUGAAAUGCGUUGAUAUCAUCUGGAACACCGGUGGCGAAAGCGGCUCACUGGAUCUUUUCUGACGCUGAGGGACGAAAGCUAGGGUAGCGAACGGGAUUAGAUACCCCGGUAGUCCUAGCCGUAAACGAUGAUUACUCGAUGUUGGCGAUAUACUGUCAGCGUCC